CUUGACUGGGAGGCACCUGUCAAUACAUUCAAGGGCAGAGCAGCCAGAGGCAGGCAGGUGGAGUGAGCUGACAGGAGCCUGAUGAAUUGAGGACCUGGCAGAUAGCAGUGAUAGGUAAGGGAUGAGGCUGCAGAGGAACCUAAACCCACCUGUGAGAUGUCUCCGGUCCCUGGCAGAUCUCCUGGGAGCCAAAUGGCUGUGACGGCAGAGAGUGGAUCAUACUGAUUCUUCAGGGAUGGGGAGGUACAGAAUCGGGCUCUUUUGCUGUUCUUCCUUUGAGUGCCAUGAAUUCUGCAUGCCUGGCUGCACAAAAAUGCAGCUUGAACAGAUGUGGAGGCAUCUUUCUACCCAGGAUAAGAUGUGCAGAAAAGAGCUGUUGGGAGGCCUCCACCUCAAGACAAAUCCAAAGCUUGAGCCAGGAUCAGGUUUUCUGUGUCUGUGAUGCUGGGAGUUGUCAGAGUGCUCUAGUCUUAGCAAAGGACCAUGCUUCAGGUGCACUGUCCCCUUUGUCCAGGCAGCCAAGUCUCCUGGCUGUACUCUAAGGGAAGGCCUGCUGCAUCCGAAGGGAGCGAGGCACCCUGGUGAAUGUCACAGCCUGGCCUCACCCCGCACCCCGGUGAAUGUCACAGCCUGGCCUCACCCCAGUGAAUGUCACAGUGCCACCUCACCCCGCACCCCAGUGAAUGUCACAGCCUGGCCUUGCCCCAUGAGGUGAUGUGGGCUGCUCACAUGGGCUCCAUGCUCACACAGGAGCUGGGGAAAACUUUUAAUUAACCACGUUCCACUCACUGUAACACAAAAAUCCAGGCUGUAAUUGUGUCUUGGGUGUGUCCCUUUGAGUGCAGAAGGCUAGAGCCUGUUCAGGAAAGAUCUGUGGUGGCCACUCACAUGGAAAGAAGACCUUGGCUGUACGAGUACAAGGGGCAAGCUUUCCACUGAAACUGCAUGAGCCUGUGAAUAAACUUCCAAACAAAUUUAUUUGCAUCUAGGGCUACCAUUUACUCAGAAAAUAGGCAUAAAGGCAAAGAAAUUUGAAAAGAGUCAUGUAUUUUUAUG